GUCAGCACUCACCAAGGAGAAAGCCAUGUUCAGUUCAAGCGCCAAGAUUGUGAAGCCCAAUGGCGAGAAGCCAGAUGAGUUCGAGUCCGGCAUUUCCCAGGCUCUUCUGGAGCUGGAGAUGAACUCGGACCUCAAGGCUCAGCUCAGGGAGCUGAAUAUUACGGCAGCCAAGGAAAUUGAAGUUGGUGGUGGCCGGAAAGCUAUCAUAAUCUUUGUUCCUGUUCCUCAACUAAAAUCUUUCCAGAAAAUCCAAGUCCGGCUAGUACACGAAUUGGAAAAAAAGUUCAGUGGGAAGCAUGUUGUCUUUAUCGCUCAGAGGGGAAUUCUGCCUAAGCCAACUUGAAAAAGCCGUACAAAAAAUAAACAUAAGCGUCCCAGGAGCCAUAAACUGACAGCGGUGCACGAUGCAAUCCUUGAGGACCUGGUCUUCCCAAGUGAAAUUGUGGGUAAGAGAAUCCGCAUGAAACUGGAUGGCAGCUGGCACAUAAACGUUCAUUUGGACAAAGCACAGCAGAACAACGUGGAACACAAGGUUGAAACUUUUUCUGGUGUCUAUAAGAAGCUCACGGGCAGGGAUGUUAAUUUUGAGUUCCUAGAGUUUCAGUUGUAA